UAUCUGGGGCUCAUCUAGUUGUCCUGGUCUCCGCUGUCUUUCAGGGCUGUAGAGGUCCUUUCUAGGUGCUGAUCCACCAUCUUGUCUGGAUAUGUACUGAAUCCGGGUGACUGCAAUGACCAUCUGUGACGACCUGGGUAUUCAUUGGGUUUUUUCCAGUAGAAGACUGAUGACUCCGCCCCCCCGUAACCCGGUUGCAUCCGUGACACCUGUGCCCAAUUUCCCUUGCCUCUUUAAGAGAAGCAAGCUCGAUGGCAGGGGGCGCGGGCGGCCAACUUGAUUGUUUUUCUGUUUGGUUUGAUAAUGUUUCUUUUUGCAUACAUCACGAGACUACAGCACAGCACAGCACAUUACAUUUUCACACAUACCCUUAGGACGCCAUUACUGACUUUUGAAUACUACCAUACUUUGUUUUGUAUAGCCUAUUUGUCUUAUUUAAAUAAAACGUUUCUUUACGAAUUGGCUCUCUUAUGUCCCAGUUUUUGUUGCGUCCCCUUUUGAGUCACGGUCUAGAUCUAGAUCUAGAUCUUGAAUCUAGAUACAGACUGGAUCUGGUGGCUACGGUGACCUCGAAAAAAGAGAGAAACAGACUAAUAUUAGCUUAGAUGCCAUUCUUCUAACGAUGUAGCAAGGACAUCGGGUGUUAUGGGAAGUGUUCCCGGUUCCGGUUGACCUAAUUAAUGCAGCCUAAAAUUUCUUUAAUGGAUUUGGAUAUUAGAAGCGUAUUAGUAUGUUACAUGUAAGCCAACAGUGUUAGGUAAGUUAUUCCAAAGUUUAGGCCCUAAAUAGGAAAAGGAUCUGCCGCCCGCAGUUGAUUUUGAUAUUCUAGGUUUUAUCAAAUUACCAGAGUUUUGAGAACACAGUGGAAGUGGAGGACUAUAAUGUAACAAGAGCUCAUUCAAAUACUGAGGUGCUAAACCAUUCAGGGCUUUAUAAGUAAUAAGCAAGAUUUUUAAAUCUAUACAAUGUUAAAUAGAUAGCCAGUUCAGUGAUGACAGAACCGGGCUAAUAUGGUCAUACUUCCUGGUUCUAUUAAGAAAAAGAAAGCUGCUGCAUUUUGAACCAGCUGUUUGUUUAUUAAGCAUGCAGAACAACCACCCAAUAAAGCAUUACAAUAAUCUAAACUUGAGGACAUAAACGCAUGGAUUAACAUUUCUGCAUUUGACAUUGAGAGCAUAGGUCGUAAUUUAGAUAUAUUUUUGAGAUGGAAAAAUGCAGUUUUACAAAUGCUAGAAACGUGGCUUUCUAAGGAAAGCUUGCUAUCAAAUAGCACACCUAGAUUCCUAACUGAUGACGAAGAAUUGACAGAGCAGCCAUCAAGUCUUAGACAGUGUUCUAGGUUAUUACAUGCAGAGUUUUUAGGUCCUAUAAUUAACACCUCUGUUUUUUUUCAGCAUUUAGUAGUUUCCUGAUGAUUUCUCCCAAGGGUAACAUGUAAACGUGUAGAGUAACGGCCCUAGUAAUGAGCCUUGAGGUACUCCAUACUGCACUUGUGAUCGAUAUGAUAUCUCUUCAUUCACUGCUACGAAUUGAUGACGGUCAUAUAAGUACGAUUUAAACCAUGCUAAUGCACUUCCAUUAAUGCCAACAAAGUUUUCUAGUCUAUGCAAAAGAAUGUUGUGGUCAAUAGUGUCGAAUACAGCGCUAAGAUCCAAUAGCACUAAUAGAGAGAUACAACCACGAUCAGAUGAUAAGAGCAGGUCAUUUGUAACUCUAAUUAGAGCAGUCUCAGUAGUAUGAUACGGUCUAAAUCCUGACUGGAAAUCCUCCCAGAUACCAUUUUUCUCUAAGAAGGAAUAUAAUUGUGAGGAUACUACCUUUUCUAGUAUCUUGGACAGAAAAGGUAGAUUCAAGAUCGGUCCAAUUAACUAGUUAUUUGGGGUCAAGUUGUGUUUUUUUCAUUAGAGGCUUAAUAACAGCCAGUUUGAAGGUUUUGGGGACAUAUCCUAAUGACAAUGAUGAAUUAAUAAUAGUCAGAAGAGGAUCUAUGACUUCUGGAAGCACCUCUUUUAGGAGCUUAGAUGGAAUAGGGUCUAACAUACAUGUUGUUGGUUUAGAUGAUUUAACAAGUUUAUUCAAUUCUUCCUCUCCAAUAGUAGAGAAUGAGUGGAAUUGUUCCUCAGGCGAUCUAUAGCACGCCAUCUGAUGCGAUGCUAUAACUGACGGCUGCAUGGUUACAAUUUUAUCUCUAAUAGUAUCGAUCUUAGAAGUAAAGUAGUUCAAAAAGUCAUUACUGCUGUGCUGUUGGGAAAUGUCAACACUUGUUGAUGCUUUAUUUUUCGUUAAUUUAGCCACUGUAUUGAAUAAAUACCUGGGGUUAUGUUUGUUCUCUUUUAAAAGAUCUAACAGUUUUAAAUGCAUUUCUAUAGGAUAGGUUACUUUCCCGCCAAGCAAUACAAAAUGCCUCUAGUUUUGUUUUCCUCCAGCUGCGCUCCAUUUUCUGUGCUGCUCUCUUUAGGGUGCGAGUGUGCUCAUUAUACCACAGUGUCAGACUGUUUUCCUUAAUCUUCCUUAAGCGUAAAGGAGCAACUGUAUUUAAAAUGCUAGAAAAGAGAGAGUCCAUAGUUUCUGUUACAUCAUCAAGUUGUUCUGAGGUUUUGAAUAUGCUAAGGAAUUGGGAUAUAUCAGGAAGACUACUCGCAAAGCAGUCUUUUGUGGUAGAAGUGAUGGUUCUACCAUACUUAUAACAAGAAGUAGAAUUUACAGUUUUAGCUAUAUGAAGUUUGCACAAAACUAAAUAAUGACCUGAGAUAUCAUCGCUUGGCUGCAUAAUUUCAACACCAUCAACAUCAAUUCAAUAUGCAAGUAUUAGAUCUAGAGUAUGAUUUCGACAAUGGGUAGGUCCUGACACCUGUUGUCUAUCCCCAGUAGAGUUCAGAAUGUCUAUGAAUGCUGAUUCCAAUGUAUCUUUUUCAUUAUCAACAUGGAUAAUAAAAUCACCAACAAUUAAAACUUUAUCUCCAGCCAGCACUAACUUGGAUAUAAAAUCAGCACAUUCUUUAAUAAAGUCUGUAUGGUGCCCUGGUGGCAUGUAUACAGUAGCCAGUACAAACAUAACACAUCAUUAACACUUGUUUCUCUGGACAAUGUUAUAUGAAGCACUAUUACUUCAAACGAGUUAUACCUGAAGCCUGCCCUCUGAGAAAUACUGAAAACAUUGUUAUAAAUUGAAGCAACACCUCCCCCUUUACCUUUUGGAUGUGGCUCAUGUUUAUAACAGUAAUCUUGGGGGUAGACUGUUUAAUAGGUUGCCAGUUCAGUGUUGACAGAACCGGCUAAUAUGGUCAUACUUCUUAGAAUGAUCAUAUCAUUUACAAAAAUUGCUUUCGUAGAAAGGGACCUGAUAUUCAAUAAACCAAGCUUUUUAUUUGUUUAUCCGUAUUACAUCUGUGUUGAACAUCAAUUAAAUUGUUACUCUUAAAUUGGUAUGUACGUUUUUUGUAUCUUCUAGUUUGGGGAACAGACACAGUCUCUAUAGUGUGAUAUCUAGGUGAAAGAGUCUCUAUGUGCUGAGAAUUAACUGAUUUCUGUGACAUGAGGCGGCUAGCAGACGGUCGGUUUAGCCAGUCUGUCUGCUUCCUGACCUGUGCCCCAGUUAGUCAAGUACAAACUCUAAGACUAUGUGCCAUAUUUCUAGACAGAAAAGUGUCUCCACCUCAGGAGGGAUGAAGACCAUCUCUUUUCAACAGGUCAGUUCUGCCCCAAAAACUAGUCCAAUUGUCUAUGAAACCUAUGUUAUUCUGCGGGCACCACUUAGACAUCCAGCCAUUGAGUGAUGACAGUCUGCUAUUUAUCUCAUCACCACAGUAAGCAGGGAGGGGACCAGAGCAUAUUACAGUGUCUGACAUUGUGCUUGCAAGUUCACACACCUCUUUAAUGUUAUUUUUAGUGAUCUCCGACUGGCAAAGUCAAACAUCAGUAGCACCGGCGUGAAUAACAAUCUUACUGUAUUUACGUUUAGCAUUAGCCAGCACUUUUAAAUUUGACAAGAUGUCAGGCACUCUGGCUCCCAGUAAACAUUGGACUAUGGUGUCUGGUGUCUCUAUUUUCAUGUUCCAUACAACAGAAUCACCAAUAACUAGAGCACUUUGAUCAGGGAUCAGGUUUCAGUGGGUGCAUCACUGAGUGGGGAGAACCUGUUUAAUGCUUUGAUCGGAACAGAAUAGCGGUGUUUUGACCCGCGACUAUGCCGCCUCACAGUUACCCAGUUGCCCUGCUGCGGAGGCGCUGUUACCGAAACCGAACAAUGUACAGGACUCCCUGAGCAUCCAAAGCAGAAUCUAGAGCCCUCACAUUCUUACUGUCCUCAAUUAAAGUCUGGAUGCGUGUCUCUAAUUGUGAAAUCUUCUCUGUCAGCCUAACUAUUUCCCUGCAUUUAUCACAUGUGAAUCCCUCGUCGCCGACA
ensembl:lncRNA